rnacentral:rRNA from 1 species
GACGAACGCUGGCGGCGUGCUUAACACAUGCAAGUCGAACGGAAAGGCCCUGCUUUUGUGGGGUGCUCGAGUGGCGAACGGGUGAGUAACACGUGAGUAACCUGCCCUUGACUUUGGGAUAACUUCAGGAAACUGGGGCUAAUACCGGAUAGGAGCUCCUGCUGCAUGGUGGGGGUUGGAAAGUUUCGGCGGUUGGGGAUGGACUCGCGGCUUAUCAGCUUGUUGGUGGGGUAGUGGCUUACCAAGGCUUUGACGGGUAGCCGGCCUGAGAGGGUGACCGGCACCAUUGGGACUGGGAAACGGCCAAGACUCUACCGGGAGCAAGGGGUGGGAAAUAUUGAAAAAUGGGCGGAGGCCGGAUGCAGCACCGCCGGGUGGGGAAUGACGGCUUUCGGGUUGUAACCGGUUUUCGCGUGUGAGGAGGCGUGAGGACGGGAACUGGGUAAAGAGGCACGGCUAACUACGGU